AUUUAAAUAAACAAUCAUUUUACAUAGAAUUUAGUGGAUGUUCAAAUCAAUUAUUGAGUCUAAGUGAUGCCAGGAAAUAUAUGCAUUCGAAGGACAGUCUGUCACAGACGAAGUCCAGUAUUGAUACUACGAUUCAUUCAUUCGAGGAUGCUGCCAUUUGUUAAAUACAUUGAUAAAAAAGAGAUAAAUGUUAGAUGGAUUAUGAUUCUUUUAGAGGGGACUUUGUUUUAAAAAACAAUGGACUAUAAACCAGAAAUUUGCAUCGUUCGUCUAUUCCUCACUUAUAACUCUUGUCGUAGUUUGUUCCGGAAAACCGUGUUAGACUGUUAGAGCUCCACAGCAACUUUUUCACAUAAAAUUUCAAAACGCUUACAAAUCUUAAGACCAUCAAGAACAAAAUAUCUGUCUAAAAUAAAAGAUCAAUUCACACCCACUUAAACAGAUUAUAACCCACGAAGUACAACUUAUAAUGAACUCUUAUAGAAGCAG
rnacentral:lncRNA from 1 species